ensembl:lncRNA
CAGGUCAGUAGUGGUAGUACAGGUCAGUAGUACAGGUCAGUAGUGCAGGUCAGUAGUGCAGGUCAGUAGUACAGGUCAGUAGUACAGGUCAGUAGUGGUAGUACAGGUCAGUAGUACAGGUCAGUAGUACAGGUCAGUAGUGGUAGUACAGGUCAGUAGUACAGGUCAGUAGUGGUAGUACAGGUCAGUAGUACAGGUCAGUAGUGCAGGUCAGAAGUACAGGUCAGUAGUACAGGUCAGUAGUACAGGUCAGUAGUACAGGUCAGUAGUGGUAGUACAGGUCAGUAGUACAGGUCAGUAGUUGUAGUACAGGUCAGUAGUACAGGUCAGUAGUACAGGUCAGUAGUGGUAGUACAGGUCAGUAGUACAGGUCAGUAGUGGUAGUACAGGUCAGUAGUACAGGUCAGUAGUGCAGGUCAGAAGUACAGGUCAGUAGUACAGGUCAGUAGUACAGGUCAGUAGUACAGGUCAGUAGUGGUAGUACAGGUCAGUAGUACAGGUCAGUAGUACAGGUCAGUAGUAGUGGUGCAGGUCAUUAGUACAGGUCAGUAGUACAGGUCAGUAGUGCAGGUCAUUAGUACAGGUCAUUAGUACAGGUCAGUAGUACAGGUCAGUAGUACAGGUCAGUUUAAUUUUGUAAUUUUUUAUUUCACCUUUACUUAUUU